rnacentral:lncRNA from 10 species
CAACUCUAAUGUGUGGCCCAGGUUGAGGCCACUGGUCUCGAAGAGGAAGAUGAAAAAGCAGAGAAUCACCAGAAAGGGUCUAAGCACCUGAUGCAAUGAAAUCAUGUGGGGCCCUCACAGCCCAGGCUCAGGAUCCUCUGAGAGGCUCAGGAGCCCAGAGAAGGAACACCUCAGAUGAGACCUGCCAGGUCAUGCCGAAUGGCCAGGUGAGGAUAUUGGGAAGACGGGAGAAGAAGAGUGUUCUGGGCAAACAGAACAGCCAGUAAAUGCCAGAAGAAAGUGCCCUGAAGGGAGAGAGAGCCUGGUGCAUUGGUAAACAGAAAAUGUCCCUACAGCAAAGGAGAGGCAGGAAGUGAUAAAUUGAGCUUGGAGAGGUGAGUAAAGAUCAAAACACAAAAACUGAAGUUUUGAGAUGCAAUUCUGAAGACAGUGAGGAGGCAUUAGAAGGUCUGCAGCAGGAGAAUGAAAAUGACCAGAUGUGGGUAGACAGACCACUCACCGUCUUUCUCUCACACUCUUGGAGAAUGACUAAGAAUGACUCUUAGGCUCAAGCCUGUAAGCAGAAAACAGCAUGGAAACAGCAUGGUUAACGCAGAUAGGAGAUCAAAGCAGCUGCAUCAUCUCAUUAACCUUCACUCAGCAUUCCUGGAGGAGAUUGCCAGUUCCAGUGCUGAGCUCAGCCCACUGCCAGAGAUCAGACAAAAAUGUCAGAGCAUGGAUUACACCAGUGCUUCUCAAACUAUAAGGUAUUGAGUCUGAUUUGCCUACCACAAGAUGAAGGGCACACGUGGAGGGGGAGAAGCAGAAGAUCAGAUUGGAAAGCCCGAGAGUCAUCUGGAGGUGCCCUAAGAGUGUAGCUUUGGAUAACAGACAUCCUGAAAGCUGGCUUGCCUGCCACUGAACACCACAUGCAAAUUCAAGCCCAGUGAAUAUGUGUGGUCUCAACUGAAACCAAAAAAAAAAGUUUUUUAAAAACCAAUACAGAUUUAGGCCCUCACAAUUCUCUCAGCAACUGUAAUGGGUUGAAUGGUGGUCCCCAACAUUAUGUCCAUUUCCUAACCCCUGGAACCUGUGACUGUGACCUUCUUUCAAAAAAAGGGUCCUUGCAGAAGUAAUGAAGAGAUCAGAUCAUUCUGGGUUACCCAGGUGGGCACUGAAUUUAAUGACGAGUACCUUUGUAACAGACAGAAGAGGAGAAGACACAUGAGGAGGAGGAGGGACUGUGGCCACUGAGGCACACUGGAGCCAUGCAUCCAGGGAAGCCGAGGCAUGCUGACAUGCACUAGAAGCUGUCAGAGGCAAGGGAGGGUUCUACCCUAGAGCAUUAGGAGGGAGUGAGACCCUGCCAAUAAUCUCAUCUUUCAAUUCUGGCCUUCAUAACUGUUUUAAGCCAUCAAGAUGGAGGUAACUUUUAUGGCUGCUGGAGGAAACUAACACAGCAGCCUACAAAGGCAGCAGAGCAGCUCAAGCUUGGCCACAGGAGGAGUCAGGCCUUGUGCAUAGGACAUGGGCUCAGAUCCCUACCACCCUUCCCAACUCCCCUGCUCUGCAGAUCCCCUCCUUACACAGGAUCCCCCAAGUAAUCAGCACCCCCUGCCUGCCUUCCUUUGGGCCUUGCCCCUCAUCUGCGCCAUCUCCGCCCUCAGACAGCCUCACCCAGGCUGCUCCUUGGGCCUACCUUGACCUCGGCCAAGUUCUCUAGUCCAAUUCAGCUGCCAGGCUAGUCAUUAAUCAUAAUUCUAUUUGCGCAGGAUGCACAUGGCCAUGUCGGAGAGUCUGCCAAGCUAUGCUCCUUCUCCUUUAUUACCCAAGUGACAACUUGCAACUGCACACACAACCCUGCCAGCACUUGGCAGCUGAGGAAUGGAGCAGGAGAGGCAGGGAGCACGCCAGCAAGUAAGUGCCCUGGAAUAAUGUCCGACAAAGAACCUUUCCUCUUCACACCGCAGGGUGAAUUUGGAAUUUGGUUAACAAUCAUUUAUUGUAUGUGGUCCAACGCUGGAAGAGAGGAUUUUGAAUGUUCCCAACACAAAGAAAGGAUCGAUGUUUGAGCUGAUGGAUACGCUAAUUACCUAUUUGAUCACUAAACAUCAUAUGCAUGUAUGGAAAUACUCUGUACCCCAUAAGUAUGUAUAAUUAUUAGGUGUCAACUAAACAUAUAAAAAAAGAAACUUUCCUCUCCCAACUUGCAACAGAUAAUGCACAAAAGGGGUCAUUUCUUAAAUGUCAUCUUUAUAGCCUCUGAAUUUCAAUCCACAGGAAGAGCAUUCACAGUAACAACAAGUGGUAGAAACCAUUCACAUCUUCAGACGCUGUUGCCCCUAUCCUAUCUUGUUCUAAUGAUGUAUACUGCUUGCACACACCAAGGAAAUCUAAAAUUCAUCAUAUAGCCAACCAUAUCCCCUACCUUGAAACUGGUACAUUCCACCUCCACUUCUCAUUUCAUCCACAGCCAUUUCUUUACAUUGAGACCUCACCUGGAAAAAUAGAACCAGCUGUCUUGUAAGCUGGGUCUUCCCCCACUGUCACAGAACAUGGCAAGGGACUAAGAUGUCAUCUGGCUCCUGUGUUAUGAUGAGAAAUGUGAGGGAAAAAAACUAGGCCAAAAAUUCUGCUUGCUAGGUAUUAUGAAACAAUACUGUAUAUUACUAGAGUCUACUCUUGGCCAUGUGUGUCAAGAGUAGUGAUGUAGACCAAUACUUAAAAUCUGGGAGACACCAGUUUUUUGUUAUAAGAAAGAGAUAAUUAGAGCUUCCUUGCAUAAUUAGAGUGGGACUCAACAUACCAAGUCUAGGGCUCACACAUAGCAAGUCCUCAGUGAAUAUCAGCCACUGGCAUUCCUGUUGCUGUUAUUGGGAUUGCUGUUAAAACCACCCUCCGCAAAGAUAUGUAAUGGUUUGUUUCCCUCCAUCUCCUACCUGCCCUCCACUAUUCCCACUUGCCUCCACGUUUGUUCAUCCAAUGAUGAAGGGAGGGAUCAAGAUGAUAGAAGAAAUGAAAGCAGAAACUUGGUUCCUGCUGGAUCAGAGAAAGGGCCUUAGCCAUUCAAAGACUAAAAGGUGCAUUUGUCUAUCAACCACUUUGCUUAACUCUGUUCUAUAUUCUGCACGCAGAGUCAUUAUGAGACACUUCUGCUUCAGAAAGCACAGCAGCCUAAAUGGCACUUGAUUUUGUCUCCAAAACCACCAGCCUACAUAUAAAAUAUGCAUCACCCCAAGAAACCAUCUUGCUUUGUGAAUAAUUGGACACAUGACUACAGAAUGACACCGUCCAGACAGCCCAUGCUGCCCUAAUCCCUUCCCUGUAACUGGGAAGGUGCUGCCAGUUUUCUUGGGCCAAGCACAGAGGAAGUGUUUCCGUUUCUGUUCCCUCCAGCCUUGAUGUUUGUCCACCGAAAGCCAAGCCUUGUCCUACCUAGGGUCCUGGCUCCGCGCAGUGCAUUAAGGAAACCAUGGUGCCUCCCACUGUUCCCCCUUCAACCCUAAGCUUUGUCCCCUUAUCUCAGCACCUGGAUCCUCCCUUCAGCUCCCCCACUCCUCUCCUGACCUCUCCAUGCAGCCAUACCCUUCUGUUACCUGCACGAACCUAGCCCACAGCACCAAAAAAAAAAAAAAAAAAAAAAAAAGCAGGUUGCUAACCUUGUGUAUGACGUCCUUAGACAAACUUCAACCCUCCUGAUUGGUCCAUCAAUUUCCCUUCAUGCUAUGGUAGUGGUAACCAGAUCCUGGGUAGUAUGCCUGAUCAGCUGGGCAAUGCUUCCACUUUCACUGCAAUUUCAUCACUCCAGUCAAAGUCGUCACUCAUCACCUUGAUGUCAGCCAAUCUCUUAGAAAUGCGUCUGAUGAACUAAUCACACAUGCACAUAAGUGGCUGAGAAAGCAAGGUUUUCCCCUGGGGACUGGUAGCAACUGGGGUAGGCAUUCCCCUCCUUCUAAGGGCCAUUCCUUGGGAUCUGCUGUUGGCCAAAACAUUGGGACCACAACCUUUGUACACUCCUAAAAAUGAAUUAUUUUAACUCAGAUCAGCCACUUGGUAUAUUUGUUGGCUAGGGCUGCCAUAACGAAGUAUCACAAACUGGGUGGCUCAAACAACAAGAAUGUAUUUUCUCCCAGGCCCUGGAAGCUAGAAGUCUGCAAUCAAGGUCUCAGCAGAGUGGAUUCUUUCUGAGGGUUCUGAGGGACAAUCUGUUCCAUGCCCCCUCCCGGAGAUUCUGGUAGCCUCAGGCAUUCCUUGACUUGUAGAUGUCUACAAUGUGAAGACUGUCUUCACAUUGUCUCCCUCUGUGCAUGUCUGUCUCUGUGUCCAAAUUUUCCUUUUAGGUAAGGAUAUCAGUCAUAUUGGAUGAGGGCCACUGUAAUGGCCUCAUUCUAAUUUAAUCAUCAGCAAAGGCCUUAUUUCCAAAAAGGUCCCAUUCACAGGUCCCAGGAGUGAGGACUCCAAUAUCGUUUGGGGAGACAAAAUUCACCCCUAAUACUUGGGUAUAGCAUAUUCUUAUUUGGGUCAAGGAUGCAUUCCUCAAGACCCCCACAGAAUUUAAAAUUUUCAUAAUACAAAAUUAAUUUUUCUAAAGUUAAAACAAUUGUGGAGGGACUACAAUCUCAAAAUGUAUUUAAUCAAUUAAUUAGUUUAUUUACUUAUUUAUUUAUUUUUGAGACGGAGUCUCGCUCUGUCGCCUAGGCUGGAGUGCAAUGGCGUGAUCUUGGCUCACUGCAACCUCCACCUCCCAGGUUCAAGCGAUUCUCCUGCCUCAGCCUCUCGAGUAGCUGGGAUUACAGGUGCCUGCCACUACAUCCAGCUAAUUUUUGAAUUUUUAGUAAAGACAGAGUUUCAUCACGUUGCCCAGGCUGGUCUGGAACUCCUGACCUCAAGUGAUCGGCCCACCUCAGCCUCCCAAAGUGCCGAGAUUACAGGCAUAAGCCACCAUGCCCGGCCUCAAAAUGUAUUUAAUCCACAAAUAUGUAGCAUGUUUGCUUUUUAAUAUUUCUUUAUUUUCUCAAUAUUUUCUCUAAAGUUUCCCUUUGGGGACUCAAAUUUACAUAACCUCUACCACAAAGUGACUGAUUUUUCAGCACAAGUCCAGGCAAUAUGGCUUAAUGACAACUUAGAUGAUAUUAUGUGAUUCAAAAAGUUUUAAUUUUUAAGUAGCAAUGAAUAUUAAAAUAACAGUACAAAAAUAACCAAAAUCCCUUGCAGAAAUUCUAGUGCAUAUAAACAUGAGAGUGAUCCACAGCCACCAACAAUGGAAGCCACAUGUUUCCAUUAACCAGCUGAAGCAGCACUGUCAUCUGGCAACGGCAUGAACACAGCAGACAAUUCCAGUGGAGGCCCUGCUUCGAAAUUGCGUAAAUGAUUUACACUUUUUUUAAUCUGGAGAAUUACUGGGGUUUUUUCAAAUUUACAGUGUGAACACAGCAGACAAUUCCGAUGGGUCCCCUGCUUUGAAAUUGUGUAAAUUAUUUACACUUUUUCUAAUUCGGAGAAUUAUUGAGUUUUUUUCAAAUGUGCAUAGCCAAUCGAGACUUCGUUAAUAUUUUUAGGUCCCACUAUUUCAAAUUCAUAUCGUUCAAAAUUGCAUUCAGUGCCCCUGCGCUGUGUAACUAGCACUUUUCCUUCAG